UGCAGUCGACGAUGAAGCCCUUCGGGGUGGAUUAGUGGCGAACGGGUGAGUAACACGUGGGCAAUCUGCCCUGCACUCUGGGACAAGCCCUGGAAACGGGGUCUAAUACCGGAUAUGACCGUCCAUCGCAUGGUGGAUGGUGUAAAGCUCCGGCGGUGCAGGAUGAGCCCGCGGCCUAUCAGCUAGUUGGUGAGGUAGUGGCUCACCAAGGCGACGACGGGUAGCCGGCCUGAGAGGGCGACCGGCCACACUGGGACUGAGACACGGCCCAGACUCCUACGGGAGGCAGCAGUGGGGAAUAUUGCACAAUGGGCGAAAGCCUGAUGCAGCGACGCCGCGUGAGGGAUGACGGCCUUCGGGUUGUAAACCUCUUUCAGCAGGGAAGAAGCGAAAGUGACGGUACCUGCAGAAGAAGCGCCGGCUAACUACGUGCCAGCAGCCGCGGUAAUACGUAGGGCGCAAGCGUUGUCCGGAAUUAUUGGGCGUAAAGAGCUCGUAGGCGGCUUGUCACGUCGGUUGUGAAAGCCCGGGGCUUAACCCCGGGUCUGCAGUCGAUACGGGCAGGCUAGAGUUCGGUAGGGGAGAUCGGAAUUCCUGGUGUAGCGGUGAAAUGCGCAGAUAUCAGGAGGAACACCGGUGGCGAAGGCGGAUCUCUGGGCCGAUACUGACGCUGAGGAGCGAAAGCGUGGGGAGCGAACAGGAUUAGAUACCCUGGUAGUCCACGCCGU
rnacentral:rRNA from 1 species